rnacentral:rRNA from 1 species
UACGAAGGGGGCUAGCGUUGCUCGGAAUCACUGGGCGUAAAGGGUGCGUAGGCGGGUCUUUAAGUCAGGGGGGAAAUCCUGGAGCUCAACUCCAGAACUGCCUUUGAUACUGAGGAUCUUGAGUUCGGGAGAGGUGAGUGGAACUGCGAGUGUAGAGGUGAAAUUCGUAGAUAUUCGCAAGAACACCAGUGGCGAAGGCGGCUCACUGGCCCGGUACUGACGCUGAGGUGUGAAAGCGUGGGGAGCAAACAGG